UUUUCAAACCGGUUUAAAAUCGAUUUCUCUCUUCAAUCCAGUUCUGCUUUGGUUUCAUGAACCAUAAAACUGGUUCUGAAAUGGAUCCAGUUUGGAUUUAUAAAAAUCCAAACCAUGCCCACCCCUAUUCCUUGCAUUGACUUUCACAUCAAUAAAAUUUAU